GAUGAACGCUGGCGGCGUGCCUAAUACAUGCAAGUCGAGCGAACAGACGAGGAGCUUGCUCCUCUGACGUUAGCGGCGGACGGGUGAGUAACACGUGGAGAACCUACCUAUAAGACUGGGAUAACUUCGGGAAACCGGAGCUAAUACCGGAUAAUAUAUUGAACCGCAUGGUUCAAUAGUGAAAGACGGUUUUGCUGUCACUUAUAGAUGGAUCUGCGCCGCAUUAGCUAGUUGGUAAGGUAACGGCUUACCAAGGCAACGAUGCGUAGCCGACCUGAGAGGGUGAUCGGCCACACUGGAACUGAGACACGGUCCAGACUCCUACGGGGGGCAGCAGUAGGGAAUCUUCCGCAAUGGGCGAAAGCUUGACGGAGCAACGCCGCGUGAGUGAUGAAGGUCUUCGGAUCGUAAAACUCUGUUAUUAGGGAAGAACAAAUGUGUAAGUAACUAUGCACGUCUUGACGGUACCUAAUCAGAAAGCCACGGCUAACUACGUG
rnacentral:rRNA from 1 species